CCUACGGGAGGCAGCAGUAGGGAAUAUUGCUCAAUGGGCGAAACCCUGAAGCAGCAACGCCGCGUGGAGGAUGAAGGUUUUCGGAUUGUAAACUCCUUUUGUUAGAGAAGAUAAUGACGGUAUCUAACGAAUAAGCACCGGCUAACUCCGUGCCAGCAGCCGCGGUAAUACGGAGGGUGCAAGCGUUACUCGGAAUCACUGGGCGUAAAGAGCGCGUAGGCGGGCUAGCAAGUCAGAUGUGAAAUCCUAUGGCUUAACCAUAGAACUGCAUUUGAAACUGUUAUUCUAGAGUAUGGGAGAGGUAGGUGGAAUUCUUGGUGUAGGGGUAAAAUGCGUAGAGAUAAAGAGGAAUACUCAUUGCGAAGGCGACCUGCUAGAACGUAACUGACGCUGAGGCGCGAAAGCGUGGGGAGCAAACAGGAUUAGAUACCCCGGUAGUC
rnacentral:rRNA from 1 species